UUACCAUACACAGAUGACAGUUCACAAUCUUCAAAAUAAUGCGGACUUGAGCUCUCCCCAUUCGAAAAUAUGGCUCAUAAUGGCUGCUAAAAUCGAAAGUUGUAAAUGUUCAAAUGAAUUCCGCGAUUCCAUGAAUCACACAAGGUUUCUCAGUUUUCAAAAGGAUUUAAAACUCUAUACAUAAUGACAAAAACAUGUAAAAAUAAAAAAAUUGUCAUAAAAGUCGUAUUGAUGAAUCUCGAAUAUGUAUUUUUUC